UCAACAUUAUAAGAGAAGACUGUAACAAGAGCUAUGGAAGUUACGAGCUGGAUUGUGAGCAAAAACAUAUAAUACUGCAGGCCAUUCCCUGGUUUUCAAACAUGGAUCUUUUACAUCAAAAGAAUAUACACAAUUACUAAAAACUACAUGAUAGCCUUUACAAAAUUUAAGGGCCCAACGUGGAUUUAGCAGUAAAUCAAGAAUAGAGAGCUUGAUUGAAGCAACGCCAUUAAGCACGCACACACCGCCCGUCACCCUCCUCAACCAUCAUACAAAAGUCCAUUAACAACCAAGACACUAAAUACUGAUUU